rnacentral:piRNA from 1 species
UNGAUGCUGGAUGUGUUGCAGUGACUUA